AGUGAACGCUGGCGGCGUGCUUAACACAUGCAAGUCGAACGAGAACGGAUUAUAGCUUGCUAUAAUUGUCAGCUAAGUGGCGCACGGGUGAGUAAUGUAUAGGUAAUAUGCCUCUUACUAAAGGAUAACAAAUGGAAACGUUUGCUAAUACCUUAUACUCCUUAUUAACAGAAGUUAAUAAGGUAAAGAUUUAUUGGUAAGAGAUUAGCCUGUAUUGUAUCACUUAGUUGGUGGGGUAAUGGCUUACCAAGACUAUGACACAUAACUGGUUUGAGAGGAUGAUCAGUCACACUGGAACUGAGACACGGUCCAGACUCCUACGGGAGGCAGCAGUGGGGAAUAUUGCACAAUGGACGAAAGUCUGAUGCAGCAACGCCGCGUGGAGGAUGACACAUUUCGGUGCGUAAACUCCCUUUAUAUGAGAAGAUAAUGACGGUAUUAUAUGAAUAAGCACCGGCUAACUCCGUGCCAGCCGCCGCAGUAA
rnacentral:rRNA from 1 species